rnacentral:rRNA from 1 species
AUGUCAGAUUCAGGGGGAGCAAGACAUCUAAGGAAAAGAAAUCAGUCAAAUUCAUUGCAUAUCUUUAUUCUUGGGGACAUGUUGAAUCCAAUGUGGUACCUUGUACUCACUCUCUACAUGUCAUCCCAGUCUUUUUGGCAUUCUUGUGGUUUCUUUUGUUUGCUCUGGCUAGUGGAUGUACCUGUGUUAUCUAACUUUGUUUGUGCAGGUUCAUUCCAUCCUAAGCCAACUCAAGACCACAAGGUAAGUAUAUGCAUCAAAAUCAUGAGUAUGAGGAAUUCUUGCUUAUGUACAUACUAUUUGCAAGAAGGACUCAUGAGCAUGAAGGUAUUUUCCUUGAUAAUCUUUUGCUCUGAUGCAUAUGGCCAAGAUACAUGUAACACAUUGCCUACUCUGUCAUGGUUAUGCUCUCACAUGCCUCUAUAUUUCAUAUUUACACGAGUGCAUACAUGUAGGGGGAGCCUAUGCUUGUUACAUGUACUUCCAAAGCUUUACUUGCUGUUCUUUAUAUCUUUAUCUAAAGCUUUGAUGUAUGUUGCCAUCAAUUACCAAAAAGGGGGAGAUUGA